AUUGAACGCUGGCGGCAGGCUUAACACAUGCAAGUCGAACGAGUGGCGGACGGGUGAGUAACGUCUGGGAAACUUCCCGAUGGAGGGGGAUAACUACUGUAAACGGUAGCUAAUACCGCAUACUAUCAGAUGUGGCCAGGUGGGAUUGGCUUGGUGGUGGGGUAACGGCUCACCAAGGCGAGGAUCCCUCGCUGGUCUGAGAGGAUGACAGGCAACACUGGAAGUGAGACACGGUCCAGACUCUUACGGGGGGCGGCGGUGGGGAAUAUUGCAAAUGGGGGGCAAGCCGAAUGAACACAGGCGGGGUGUAUGAGGAGGGCCUUGGGUUUGUAAAGUCUGUUCAGCGGGGAGGCGGUACCCGCAGAAGAAGCACCGGCUAACUACGUGCCAGCAGCCGCGGUAAUUC
rnacentral:rRNA from 1 species